rnacentral:rRNA from 1 species
GAACGGAAUGUGUGGAUGGUAACUGAAGCGCAUUUAGUGGCGGACAGGUGAGUAAUAAAUAGGUAACGUACCCCGGACUCAGGGAUAGCGGCGCCCUUCGGGGCAUUAGCGAAAGUGCCGGUAAUACCUGAUGAUGUCACCGCACUGCAUAGUGUGGUGGUCAAAGGUCCGCAGGUCUGGGAGCGGCCUAUUUCCUAUCAGCUUGUUGGUGAGGUAACGGCUCACCAAGGCGACAACAGGUACCAGGCGUGAGAGCGCGGUCUGGCACAUCGGGACUGAGACACUGCCCGGACAUCUACGGAUGGCUGCAGCAACGAAUCUUCCGCAAUGGGCGAAAGCCUGACGGAGCGACGCCGCGUGCAGGAUGAAGCACUUCGGUGUGUAAACUGCUGUCAGGGAUUAGGAAGAAAGUGACCAAUCCCAAAGGAAGCCUCGGCUAACUCCGUGCCAGCAGCCGCGGUAAUACGGAGGAGGCAAGCGUUGUUCGGAAUCACUGGGCUUAAAGCGUGUGUAGGCGGAAUGGAAGGUGUCUUGUGAAAUCCCUCGGCUCAACCGAGGAACUGCUGGGCAAACCGCCAUUCUUGAGGCCAGCAGGGGUACCUGGAACUUUGGGUGGAGCGGUGAAAUGCGUAGAUAUCCAAGGGAACGCC